CUUUUCUUUAAUGUGCAGGAUCUCAAUAUCUGGGUGCAGCCAUUUUGUUAUCCUGUCUAUGUCUGCCCUUCUGUGGGAUAGAUUUUACUUAUGGAUUGUGGCUAAAUUUGAUUUAGCAACUGAAACAGAACCUUUAAUAAACAAUAAGCUAAAGAGGAUAUAGGCUACCAAAAUAGUAAGGUGUCUAACCUCUCUAGUGAAUAUAGAAAUACACAAGAGGAAUAGACAGCCUAAAAUAGAAUAUAUUUAAA